UACGGAAGGGGCAAGCGUUGUUCGGAAUCAUUGGGCGUAAAGGGCGCGUAGGUGGUUCUGUAUGUCUACCGUGAAAGCAUACAGCUCAACUGUAUUUUGUCGGUAGAAACUGCAGGACUUGAGGCUGGGAGGGGCUGGUGGAAUUCCCUGUGUAGCGGUGAAAUGCGUAGAGAUGGGGGAGAACACGCGUGGCGAAGGCGGCCAGCUAGACCAGUUCUGACACUGAGGCGCGACAGCGUGGGGAGCAAACAGG
rnacentral:rRNA from 1 species